UACAGAGGGUGCAAGCGUUGCUCGGAAUUACUGGGCGUAAAGGGCGCGUAGGCGGGAUGGCAAGUCGGUCGUGAAAUCCCUCGGCUCAACUGAGGAUCGUCGAUCGAUACUGCCGUUCUUGAGGAUUGCAGAGGAGACUGGAAUUCCCGGUGUAGCGGUGAAAUGUGUAGAGAUCGGGAGGAACACCGGUGGCGAAGGCGGGUCUCUGGGCAAUUCCUGACGCUGAGGCGCGAAAGCGUGGGGAGCAAACGGG
rnacentral:rRNA from 1 species